CGGGAUUAUAUUGUGAACCGCAUGGUUCAAAAGUGAAAGACGGUCUUGCUGUCACCUUAUAGAUGGAUCCGCGCUGCAUUAGCUAGUUUGGUAAGUUUACGGCUUACCAAGGCAACGGAUGCAUAGCCGACCUGAGAGGGUGAUCGGCCACACUGGAACUGAGACACGGUCCAGACUCCUACGGGAGGCAGCAGUAGGGAAUCUUCCGCAAUGGGCGAAAGCCUGACGGAGCAACGCCGCGUGAGUGAUGAAGGUCUUCGGAUCGUAAAACUCUGUUAUUAGGGAAGAACAUAUGUGUAAGUAACUGUGCACAUCUUGACGGUACCUAAUCAGAAAGCCACGGCUAACUACGUGCCAGCAGCCGCGGUAAUACGUAGGUGGCAAGCGUUAUCCGGAAUUAUUGGGCGUAGAGCGCGCGUAGGCGGUUUUUUAAGUCUGAUGUGAAAGCCCACGGCUCAACCGUGGAGGGUCAUUGGAAACUGGAAAACUUGAGUGCAGAAGAGGAAAGUGGAAUUCCAUGUGUAGCGGUGAAAUGCGCAGAGAUAUGGAGGAACACCAGUGGCGAAGGCGACUUUCUGGUCUGUAACUGACGCUGAUGUGCGAAAGCGUGGGGAUCCAAACAGGAUUAGAUACCCUGGUAGUCCACGCCGUAAACGAUGAGUGCUAAGUGUUAGGGGGUUUCCGCCCCUUAGUGCUGCAGCUAACGCAUUAAGCACUCCGCCUGGGGAGUACGACCGCAAGG
rnacentral:rRNA from 1 species